GGGACCUCUGUCUUAGUGCUCAUCACACUGUGAUACAGUUACUUACUAAUAUCUUUUUCUACUCAAUUUUCUGUGCACUCACAGAAGGCAGAAACUGUACCUUUCAUUUCCAUGAUUCUCAUGGAUAAAGCCCUCAAUAAAUGUUUGCCAGAUGAAUGACUUGCCCAAGGUCACACUGCUAAUAUAUGGCAGAACCGGGACCAGAACCAAGACCUCCGACUCCCCAGAUCCCAUAUCCUUGCUGUUCUCCUGGGAUGUUUUCUGGAAGAAAAUGAGCUGUGGGCCUAAAAAGAAGCCAAUCAAGCAUUUGGCAGAAAGAAUUUGCUGGCUGGGUGUGGUGGCUCAUGCCUGUAAUCCUAGCACUUUGGGAGGCCAGGGUGGGCCGAUCGCUUUGAGCUCAGGAGUUCAUGACCAGCCUGGGCAACAUGGGAAACCCCAUUUCUACAAAAAUUAUCCAGGCAUGGUGGCUUGUGCUUGUGGUUCCAACUACCUGGGAGACUGAGGCUGGAGGAUCACUUGAACCCAGGAAGUGGAGGUUGCAGUGAGCUGAGAUCAUGCCACAGCACACCAGCCUGGGCAACAGAGACCCUGCCUCAGAAAAUAAUAAGAAGAAUUUGCUAACACAUAGCGCAAACACUUAAGAACUGUACCUGGAAAAUAGAGUUAAAAUUCCCAAUGGAUGAAAAAGCCACCACCCUUUUUAUUUGUCAAUGAACACUUCACUGCUGUUCAAGAUACAUAUGAAAACAAUCACAAUUUACUAUGUACAUAGUGCUUUCAACUUUUUAAAGCAAAUUCACAUGUAUUCUGAAGCUUUGUGCUUUUUUCCCUUUUAACUGGACCUAGAAAUCCCCCAAAAGUAUAAACAUUUAGCUUCAGAAGCUUUGGGAAUGGCAUUACUGCUUCAAGGGGUAAAAAACCUAACUUUCCACCAAUGCCAAGAACUUGCAAGAGGUGACUCUUAGGUUGAGUAUAGUAAGCCCAUUAGGAAAGUAUUUACUGGCCACUGUAGCCAGUCCCUAAUGUGGAGCCUGCUGCACAGAAGGCACGUUAUACAAAUUUGUGGAAUGACUAAAGUAAUGAAUAUAUUUUCCGUUUCCUUGCCUUUUUCUUAUUUCCCAUGAACGUUUUCUCAUUUUUUCAUUGUUUCUUUUAAUUUAAAAAGUACUCUAUAGGCUCGUUGUAAAAACAAAACAAAAC
rnacentral:lncRNA from 10 species